rnacentral:rRNA from 1 species
AUUGAACGCUGGCGGCAGGCCUAACACAUGCAAGUCGAGCGGAUGAAGGGAGCUUGCUCCUGGAUUCAGCGGCGGACGGGUGAGUAAUGCCUAGGAAUCUGCCUGGUAGUGGGGGAUAACGGCCGGAAACGGGGGCUAAUACCGCAUACGUCCAGAGGGAGAAAGGGGGGGAUCUUGGGACCUCACGAUAUCAGAUGAGCCUAGGGCGGAUUAGCUAGUUGGUGGGGUAAAGGCCUACCAAGGCGACGAUCCGUAACUGGUCUGAGAGGAUGAUCAGUCACACUGGAACUGAGACACGGUCCAGACUCCUACGGGAGGCAGCAGUGGGGAAUAUUGGACAAUGGGCGAAAGCCUGAUCCAGCCAUGCCGCGUGUGUGAAGAAGGUCUUCGGAUUGUAAAGCACUUUUAGUUGGGAGGAAGGGCAGUAAGUUAAUACCUUGCUGUUUUGACGUUACCCACAGAAUAAGCACCGGCUAACUUCGUG